rnacentral:rRNA from 1 species
GUUCGGAUUGUAGUCUGCAACCCGACUACAUGAAGCCGGAAUCGCUAGUAAUCGCGGAUCAGAAUGCCGCGGUGAAUACGUUCCCGGGUCUUGUACACACCGCCCGUCACACCAUGGGAGUCAGUAACGCCCGAAGUCAGUGACCGAACCGAGAGGACGGAGCUGCCGAAGGCGGGACGGAUAACUGGGGUGAAGUCGUAACAAGGUAAC